rnacentral:rRNA from 1 species
AAGAUUAAGCCAUGCAUGUCUAAGUAUAAGCAAUUAUACGGCGAAACUGCGAAUGGCUCAUUAUAUAAGUUAUCGUUUAUUUGAUAGUACCUUACUACUUGGAUAACCGUGGUAAUUCUAGAGCUAAUACAUGCUGAAAAUCCCGACUUCGGAAGGGAUGUAUUUAUUAGAUUAAAACCAAUGCCCUCUGGGCUCUCUGGUGAUUCAUGAUAACUUGGCGAAUCGCAU